rnacentral:rRNA from 1 species
UACGAAGGGUGCAAGCGUUACUCGGAAUUACUGGGCGUAAAGCGUGCGUAGGUGGUUUUUUAAGUCCGUUGUGAAAACUCGAGGCUCAACCUCGAGACGCCGAUGGAAACCAUCAGACUAGAGUCCGGAAGAGGAGAGUGGAAUUCCUGGUGUAGCGGUGAAAUGCGCAGAUAUCAGGAAGAACACCCGUGGCUAAGGCGGCUCUCUAGUACGGUACUGACGCUGAGACGCGAAAGCGUGGGGAGCGAACAGG